rnacentral:rRNA from 1 species
CGAGUCAUUGUAGCAAUACAGGCAUACGGCUCAGUAACGCGUAGUCACACUUAACCUAUGGACGGGAAUAACCUCGGGAAACUGAGAAUAAUGCCCGAUAGAACAUUAUGCCUGGAAUGGUUUAUGUUCCAAAUGAUUUAUCGCCGUAGGAUGGGACUGCGGCCUAUCAGUUUGUUGGUGAGGUAAUGGCCCACCAAGACUAUUACAGGUACGGGCUCUGAGAGGAGUAGCCCGGAGAUGGGUACUGAGACACGGACCCAGGCCCUAUGGGGCGCAGCAGGCGAGAAAACUUUGCAAUGUGCGAAAGCACGACAAGGUUAAUCCGAGUGGUUUCUGCUAAAGAAACCUUUUGUCAGUCCUAGAAACACUGAUGAAUAAGGGGUGGGCAAGUUCUGGUGUCAGCCGCCGCGGUAAAACCAGCACCUCAAGUGGUCAGGAUGAUUAUUGGGCCUAAAGCAUCCGUAGCCGGCUCUGUAAGUUUUCGGUUAAAUCUGUACGCUCAACGUACAGGCUGCCGGGAAUACUGCAGAGCUAGGGAGUGGGAGAGGUAGACGGUACUCGGUAGGAAGGGGUAAAAAUCUUUGAUCUAUUGAUGACCACCUGUGGCGAAGGCGGUCUACCAGAACACGUCC